GAAACCGGAGCUAAUACAGGAUAAUAUAUUGAACCGCAUGGUUCAAUAGUGAAAGACGGUUUUGCUGUCACUUAUAGAUGGAUCCGCGCCGCAUUAGCUAGUUGGUAAGGUAACAGCUUACCAAGGCAACGAUGCGUAGCCGACCUGAGAGGGUGAUCGGCCACACUGGAACUGAGACACGGUCCAG
rnacentral:rRNA from 1 species